GACGAACCGUGCGAACGUUGUUCGGAUUCACUGGGCUUAAAGGGCGCGUAGGCGGGCGGUCAAGUCAGGGGUGAAAUCUUUCGGCUCAACCGGAAAAGUGCCUUUGAUACUGGCCGUCUCGAGGGAGGUAGGGGCAUGCGGAACUUCCGGUGGAGCGGUGAAAUGCGUAGAUAUCGGAAGGAACGCCGGUGGCGAAAGCGGCGUGCUGGACCAAUUCUGACGCUGAGGAGCGAAAGCCAGGGGAGCAAACGGG
rnacentral:rRNA from 1 species